rnacentral:lncRNA from 1 species
CCCUGGAGCUGGGGGUACUGAGCCUCAACCCUGCGCAGCAACCUUGGCUGUGGACUCCAGAGGGAGGCUGGGAUCUACUUCAGGGCUCUGGGCAAGUCCCCUCCACCUGGCUGUCCUUCUCCUUCCUUGUUUGUAGAACAGAGAUGGGGCUGAUAGCUCCCUCUGGCUCCAUGAGGAGUAGCGUGUGAAAUUAGUUCCUGCUUGGGAAGGUUUAGAAGCCACCACAUUCCACCUCCCUGCUAAUAUGAUUACAAGCACUUUUGCCGGGUAUGAAAGGGCCAAUUCCUCGGUCUCCUUCUUCCUUUAAAAACAGACCAAAGGGCGCCUUCCUCCCCACCCCCCUUAUAGCUUACUAAGAUGUGGUUGCUACCUUCUUGGAAGCUCAGACUGCUGAGGUUCGGAUUCUUAGGUAGUUCACGAACAAGUAAACAAUCAACAGCAACAAAAUUAAUUGCUGGGCAGUGCUUCGGGGAGCUUCUGAGCUAACAGUAAAGAGAUGGUCCGCCUGUCUGCAAGCCACCAGGGUUUUCCGAAAGGCCAAGCCGGGGAAGAUCAGGGAGGAAUCCCGUCCGAGCCGUCCCGAGCCUGCAGCGCCCGGAUCCCCGAGCCGUUCAGAGGUCCCCAGGAGCUGCUUCUGGCGAGCCCGCUACCGCGGGGACCCAUGGUGAGCGAGGAACCUGUCGCCGGUGCGGGGCGCACUUGGAGGCGUCCGAGGCCCGACUCUAGGGAGAAGCUGGGUGCCGGGUGCCACCGAGGGGGAAAGUGGCCUGUCCCGCACCCCGCAGCGGUGUUGGGGAGGGAGGUGGGAUGCUGGUGCUGUUCACCUCCACGUCCGCUCAGCCUGUACCCGGGCCACCUUCUCCCUUCCCGCCUAGGGGACGGUCGCGGCUGGACAGGCGGGGAGGAG